GCACUUAAAGCUAAUUUUUGAAGCGCUGGUCUUGUAAACCAGAAAAAGAAAUAUAUUUCUAUGUGUA
rnacentral:tRNA from 1 species